rnacentral:lncRNA from 13 species
CCUUAGUUGGUGGCUACGACCAUGCAGUUUCAUUGCUCAAAGUCCAGACCAGUCCCCAGAACAUGACACUAAUUCCUCUUCUGUGUCUUCUCUGUUCUUUGCAGUGAGUUUGUCUUGAACAAUGAGCCAUUCACAGGCACCCAGGGAGCUACCCAGGACCAGGGAGAUGGCUGCAGGCCCUGCAGGCAGUUGGCCACACUCCAGUCUAGAUAUUCUUGGGAAUGUGGAAUUAUUUGAAUCAAAGGGAAAUAAAUCUUUUGCAAAUGUUAAUACAAAUGACUGUGGGAAGGGCUUGGUGCUAAAAGAGAAGCUGAGAAUUCUUGGUGCCUACUGAGUUAUUUUUUGGCAGGGAAUAAUACUAGGUUGCUAUGGGAAUGAUGAAGACAAAAUAAUAGUCAUAUUUUAAUGGUUUCUCUUACUGUGUCAUCUUCAACUGCUCUAGGCUGAAAAAACUUGCUAUUUGAAUGGCUUUAUUACUCAUACUUCAUGUUUUGUUUCAUUUUCUCCUGUAUUUGAACUUGCAAACAUAGGUCUCUAAAUAAGUUUAUGAAUCCAGCUGUACCAUAUUUUCUUUGCGCCUAAAGGAAUUAGCACAUUUGAUGUUUAUCCUGUUGAUUAUACGCUUUCUGCGUCAUAGGUUUAAAUCAGAAAAGGUGUAACCUGGGAAUCUGAAAUUCCAUGUACUUUUCUGAUUGGAUGGAGAAAGGAGAGAGAAGCUGCAGUGUGGGACAAAGGCCAGCUGACCUGGGCCAAGCCUCCGCUUUGGCACACUUGCUGUGUUACUGGGCAGAGGUCCACUUUCUGCUUUUGGAGGCUGCCCUGUAUGGACCACAGGAAAGGUCUCUCUUGACCCUGGAUUCCGGCUGGAGUUUCCUUCAGCACCAGCAGAUAACUGGAAGGAGGGAGGAAGAGCCAAACGCAGGGCUUUUCCAGUGGCUUCUUUCCUGAGGGUUUGCUCCAGACUGUCUGCAUUCCUCUAAUCAAGGUUGUGGCUCCUGUUAAGCAUACCUCUCCUUCUCCCUGCAGGCUCUGAUAACUGCUUCUUCCUCUUAUGUUUCCAGGCAAGGCAUAGUAACAGAGCUCCUCUUAUUUGCCCUGUGGUAUGCACUAACUUUUGUGGUCUCCUUACAGUCUGCUUCUUUGUAAAGAGUCUCUGUUUUAAACUCUCUUCAUUAUGAGGUUGCUGAGACCCUGACUGAUAGAGAUGUGAGAAGGACUGAAAAAAGUUUGUACAAAGCAUUAUAGGCUGGAGAUGGAGAAUGCAAUCAAAUCCACAGUGGAAGGGGGCCACGGGGUAGGGGUAUGGAGAGUUACAUGGGUGAGGCUUGAGCUGAAUCUUGUGCAAGGGGAUAUUUCCCUGGCAUUAGGGUAAACCCCAGCCUAAAAAUAGACUUGCAUCUGCCAAGCCCAUGUCUGUAUAAGUAAGUCUUAAUGAUCUGCAUGGUCAUAAAAAACAAUGGUUACCCAGUGGGCUUUAAAAGACAUGGGCAAAUACUAUCCAAAGCAAUCUACAGAUUCAAUGCUAUUCCUAUCACACUAUCAAUGUCAUUUUCAUGAAAAUAGAAAAAACUAUUCUGAAACUCAUAUGGAGCCAAAAAAGAGCCCGAAUAGUCAAAGCCAUACUAAGUUCCCAAAACAACAAAGCUGGAGGCAUCACAGUCCCCAACUUUCAGCUAUACUAUAAGGCUAUAUUAAUCAAAAUGGCGUGGUACCGGGUACAAAAACCAACACAAAGACCAAUGGAACAGAAUAGAGAACCCAGAAAUAAAGGUAUACACUUAUAACCA